GUCCAUGUAGCUCAGUAGGUAGAGCAGUAGACUGAAAAUCUGCGUGUCGAUGGUUCGAUUCCAUCCGUGGACA
rnacentral:tRNA from 1 species